AAUAGAUACCCAGGUAGUCCACGCCGUAAACGAUGGAUGCUAGCUAUUGGGGGGAAUCGACCCCCUCCGAAGCGAAGCUAACGCGUUAAGCAUCCCGCCUGAGUAGUACGAGCGCAAGCUUAAAACUCAAAGGAAUUGACGGGGACCCGCACAAGCGGUGGAGCGUGUGGUUUAAUUCGAUGGUAAACGAAGAACCUUACCAAGGUUUGACAUCCCGGUAGCCGUUCUCCGAAAGGAGAAUUUCAUUUAGUUGGACCGGUGACAGGUGAUGCAUGGCCGUCGUCAGCUCGUGUCGUGAGAUGUUGGGUUAAGUCCCGCAACGAGCGCAACCCUUAUGAUUUAGUUGGAUUUUUCUAAACAGACUGCCCUGGUAACAGGGAGGAAGGAGGGGAUGAUGUCAGGUCAGUAUUUCCCUUACACCUUGGGGCGACACACGCGCUACAAUGGCCGGUACAAUGGGCAGCUAAGCCGCGAGGUGGAGCAAAUCCCAUCAAAGCCGGUCCCAGUUCGGAUUGCAGGCUGAAACCCGCUGCAUGAAGCCGGAAUCGCUAGUAACC
rnacentral:rRNA from 1 species